rnacentral:rRNA from 1 species
AUGUCCCGUGCGCCGGCGACCAGCGCCGCAUCCCACCGCCGCCGCGGCAAGCGGCGCAUCGUCGGCGCCCACGGCACCGAAUCCCUUCCUCGCGGCCGCAGCCACCUCCUCGCCUUCCGCUCCUUCACCCUCCGCUUCGCCCUCGCCGCCCCGCCCCACCGCCGCCGCAAGCGCCGCCCCGCCCCCAGUCCCCGCCACCGCCGCAGUAGCGUUGUUGACCCCAGCCGCUUCCUCGCCCCCCGCCCGUUCGUCCUCCGCUACCUCCUCGCGGCCGGCGCAUCGGCCCCUUGCCGCCGUCGGAAGGCCUCCGUGAUAGACAUGGGCCACCUCCUCUCGCGGCUGCUGAGGGAGAGCACCGGCGAAGGCGGCUCAAGGGUACGCAAGAGGCGCGACAAGGGAUUGCGGGAGGUGAUAGAUCUCACUGCGAAUAGGGUUCAAGCUGACAAGGCCAAUGCCGCCAGGUGGGGUAUUGGCGAUGUGAGCAGCAUCACACUGGAGGAGGUGCCCGACGAUAGUCCCAAAGAGGAUCUGUCUGAAUUAUUUGCACCUCUCACAAAUGAAGAAGAAAGUGAAGUAAACAACUUAUUGAAUGGUAGUGCUCACAGUAAAAAAAUAAUAGUGCUGCAUAAGCCUUCAAACAUUGAGAUUACCAAAGAGAAACUAUGGUGUUUGAGGCCUCGUGGUUGGUUAAACAAUGAGGUCAUCAAUUUGUACCUUGAAUUAUUAAAGGAGAGAGCAGAAAGAGAACCCAAAAGAUUUUUAAAAUGCCACUUCUUUAACACAUUCUUUUAUACGAAGCUUGCUUGUGGAAAAACUGGUUAUGACUAUCAAUCUGUUAGAAGAUGGACAACCCCCAACAAGUUGGGUUAUAGGCUUGCGGAUUGUGAGAAAAUAUUUAUUCCAGUACACAGAGAUGUACAUUGGUGCUUGGCAAUUAUUGACAUGAAGGAAGAAACUUUUCAUUAUCUUGAUUCUCUUGGUGGCAAGGACAGUGGCGUACUGAGGAUACUGGCUAGAUAUAUUAUGGAUGAAUUGAAGGACAAGAAUAACAUAGAGAUAGACACAAGUUCUUGGCGGGUAGUAUCUGUUCAUAUUCCUUUGCAACAUAAUGGAUGGGAUUGUGGUAUGUUUAUGCUCAAGUUCAUCGAUUUCUACAGCAGAGGUCUCAUACUAUCUUUUAGUCAGGAACAUAUGGAAUAUUUUAGGAUGCGGACAGCAAAGGAGAUCCUGAGAUUAAGAGCUGAUUAA